rnacentral:lncRNA from 10 species
AAUUAGAGCUGUGAUUGAACCUGGUAUCACAAGUGGUGGCAGCCUGGUAAAUUAGUGUAAUUUCUCUCACUUCACAGUUUAAAUCUUCCCAACUCUUCUUUAUAACCUCCUCUAAAUAUAUUUUUACAAAGUUUUCCUUAUAUCUCAGCAUAUCUUGUUUUCUACCCUUGUAGACUUUCUUGUCCUAUACUAAGGAAAACACUUUUCCUUCUAACCUGAAUAUUUUCUUUUCCCUUUUUCCCCUAUGUGACUGAGAAGUAUUUUGAGGCAGGUUCUGUGUUGGCAAAUGCAUAUUUGAGAGCUUCUAUUUAAAGGCAAUAUGUUUUCCUUCUACAUGGAAAUGUAGGAGAAAGGCUAUAAAUUUUAUAUUACAUUGCUCAUAGAACUAUAUAAAGUUUUAUAUAAAGUUAUAGUUGUAUGUUAUUGAACUGGAGGUCUGUUGCUUCAGAGUGAAGGGGCUUUUAUUUUUAAAUGUUUCUGUAUGUAAAUACAGUAUUUAGUAAAUAGAAUUCUAAAAGGGUGAUCUGCAGUGGUAACUCUAGAUAUGUGCUGUUUUAUAGAGUAGCCACUGGCCCCGUAUUAGCUAUUUGAGCACUUGAAAUGUGGCUGGUCCAAAUUGAG